AUUCUCAUUGCUUUCUCAUAAAAUUUAGGCAGCCUCGUCUGAGACUGAAAAACGCGAGCAAACCCAAAGCAUCACUUUGUAUUGCACAUAAGGCCUCAGCCCUUUCCUCGCUCAGCAGAGUCUGUGGGGAGGGGGCGGGGACGCUCUACUGAUAAUACCAGCUUUAACUACUGGAGUUUCCCUUUGAACAAAUAUUCAAUUUAACUGGAGUUAAUUUACCAUAAAAGACAUUCCUCUUGGCACGAAUGCACUCACGUCCUUGAACACACCUCUUUGAGUGCCUGGACUCUCACAGAAGCCAUUAUUUGGGAUCUCUUUAAAAAUCCAGUUCUCUCUCUCUCUCUCUCUCUCUCUCUCUCUCUCUCUCUCUUUCUCUCUCCCUCCCCUCUCUCCUCUCUCUCUUUCUCUCUCUCUGUCUCUCUCAGUCUCUCUCUCUCUCUCUCUCUCUCUCUCUCUCUCUCUCUCUCUCUCUCUCUCUCCUGUCUCCCCUCCUCUGUCUCUCCCUCCCCACCACACUACCCCCAGUGAAAUCCUGGCACCCAGAGAGCACUCUUUUCAGCCAGAGCCCAGAACCAGCCGUUGUCCCUUGGCAAAAGAGGCCCAGUGCUGAGCUAUGGGCAAAUGUCUCCAGACAGUGCUACCCCUCCUCCCCUUAUUACUUUCCUUUCCCUACAGAAACCAUUUCCUUUUGCCAACAAAACUAGGUUGCAUCCAAAAGUUUCUCCCAAGCUUAAAAAAGAGAAAAGGGGAGAGAGAAAUUGACAACCAUUACACAGAAGAAUUCACAAAAGCUGCAAGCAACACCAGGGGCAAAGAAGCAGCGUCAGAUCCAGGCCUGCAGGACACAUGGAAGGACUUUCCCAAGUCAUGCUCCAGAGAAAAGAAAAUUCUCCACAGUUCCAUAAUCAGAGAAGCUAAUCUUUCCCCUUCUUUUCUACAAGUUUUCCAAAUCUUAUAACUCUUAUUUCCAGAUUAGAAAAUAAGAUUCCCUGUUCAUUAUCCCUCGUCCUUUGCAUGUGGAAAGCCCCCAAGGGAGCACUGUAGUGCACUGUGAGCCCUUUGUGGCAAAGCCCAGGCAUAGACAACUCCAGAGAAAAUUCACUGCUCUGCAGUCUGCAAGCAAAUCAGGUCAGCUCUCACUUCCCCGUGAUGGACAUGGUUCUCCUCCCUACAAGAAACAGUAGGGCCGGGGCUGGUGUCACAACAGUUAAGAAGUUUGAAAUGCAAUGUGUGGCCUUCUGAGUUCAGUUCUGAUAGUUCCCUUAAUCAUAUAGAAAAUAGAAAAAUUAUCUAAAAAAUUUAGCUCAAAAGCCACUGAUUCAAGAAAAACAGAAAUUUAUGUCCACAUAAAAGCUUGUUUUCAUAACAGCCAAAAAAGGGAAAAGAAUUUCAAUGCUUGUCAGCUGAUGAAUGUGGCAUAUUAAUAUACUGGAAUAUUAUUCAGCAAGCAAAAGAAAUGAAAUCUUGGGGCUGGGGAUUUAGCUCAGAGGCAUAAGUGCCUGCCUUGCAAGUGUGUAGUUAUGAGUUCGAUCCCCAGUACUGAUAAAAAAAGAAAAAGACAAAAGAAAAGAAAAAGAAAUGAAAUCUUGAUGCAUGUGACAAUAUGGAUGAACCUUAAAAAGCAUCACACUAAGCCAAAAAAACUUGGGGAAAGGACGGGGAGUGUUGGAGGGUGACAGAAAAGCAGAGCAGUUUCUUUUUGGACUGAUGAAAGUGUUCUAAAAUUGAGAUGUUGCCUGUGUAACUUGGUGAGUACAUUAAAAACAAGUGAAUUUUGUCCCUUAAAUGGAUGAAUUGCAUUUUUUGUGAAUUAUAUCUCAACAGACCUGUUAGUAUUCUUUAAAUUUCUUUUUUCUUGAGCCUAUUAUCUUGGGAUGAAUGUGACCAGGCUUGGAAAACAAAUUUUUAUAAGAUAACUAAAAUGAGAAUGUGGGGGCUGGGGAUUUAGCUCAGUGGCAUAAGCGUCUGCCUUGCAAGCAGGCAGUUGUGAGUUUGAUCCCCGGUACCAAUAAAAAUGAAAAAGACAAAAAAAAAAAAAAAAUGAGAAUGCGAAAAAAUAAUGAUUUUCCUUAGGUAGAAAGACUGAUCUGCAGGGUCAUGCAUACACACAAUAUAGAUACUGUGUUUUGAAUUAUGCUGAUUUUCCCCCUCAGUCUGUAAGCAUUAAUAUAUGUAUAAUCAAUGAUACUGAGGUUGGUUUUUUUUUCCAAAUUUUUCUUUUUAUUUUAGGUGAGUGAUCCAACUUUCUGUUAAGGAAACACCAACCAUAUUUUCAGUUCAGAUGUGUGGAUACUACUGACCGUAAAUCCUAGGCUCUAUGAUGCAGGCCUUAUUAACUGGCAUAUUUUAUCCAGUUCCUACCAGCACACCUAAUUCAUCCAUUGCUUAACUUUCAGAAAUUUUGUGAACCAGUUGUUAAGCCCAAUCAUUAAAUUUAAAGCAUAUAAACAUAAUUAAGUGAAUCAUAUUAAAACUGAAGGAAACAUUCAAAUCUUAUUACUUAGUAGUUAUUUGGUUACAUUUUACUACUGUCUGGUGUCUUAAGGUUAUUUGUACCUAUUGGAUCUGUACAGUGGAAAUACCGUAUAGUGAUGUGCCACCGUGUAUCUCUUCACAAACCCAUGUUUAGUGAUUUGUUUUUGGCAGCUUGAAAUUGGCCAUGGUUGUGGUACUUACAUCAUAUUAACUGGCUAAUGUUAUUUAGGUUUCGCUUUUCCUGACAAAGAGAUUGUUAAAUAUUUACCAGCUGCAGUGGAUUGAAUAGUGGCCCCUCAAAACAUAGCCCAGUCUCUGGAAACUUGUUUUAUUUAUUUAUUUAUUUAUUUUUGUUUUUGUUUGUUUGUUUUUGAAUCUUUGAAUCUUUGAAAUUUGUGAAUGUAACCAUAUUUGGAAUAAAAGGUGCUGGCAGCCAUAAUCAAAUUAAGGAUCUCGAGAUGAAAUCAUCCUGAUUUCUCCCAGGAAGCCCUAAAUACAGUCAUGUGUGCCCUUACAGAAAAGAGGCAGAGGCUGAUGUGACACAGCACACAGAGGAAACGAGGAAGUGAUGUGACCACAGAGGCAGAGGUUCCAGCGAUGUGGCCACAAACCAAGGAAUUCUUGCAGCCACCAAAAGCUGGAAGAGACAGAAACAGUCUUCUCCAGAGCUGCUGGAGGUAGCAUGGCCCUGCUGAUACCUUGAAUCAGUGUCUAGAAAUGUAAAAGAAUAGAUUGCUGUUGUUUAAACUACCUGGUUUUUGGUGAUUUCUUAUGGUAACCACAGAAAGUCAUAGCCCUGCUGUGCGUGCAGGGAUGGGUAUGAGACCCAAGCCUACACAAUGGGAAGUCAGCUUCUAUUGUAGAACAGACUCUCAGAUAUUAGGCUUCAUUCCUUGCCACUUUAUAUACACAAUUAAAGCAGCACAGAAAGAGCUGAGGCUAAGUAUGAGGCUAAGAGGAGACAUUCCUGUCAAUGUUGUUUGAGAAACUGAAUCUUUCUCACCACUGGAGUUUCUUACUUAUAUAUAGCAAUUAAUUUCAUUUUAAACCACAUUGCUAACUGGAUUAUGCACAUUAAUUUUUGAAAUUGCUCAUUUACAAAAUUAUAAGUACAUAACUUACUAUAAUUUAUCAGCUACUAUUUAAACUAGGCAUAACUGUUAAAGACAUCGGUAAAGGGGCUAGGGGUUUAGCUCAGCGGCAUAAGCGCCUGCCUUGAAAGCAGGCAGUCGUGAGUUCGAUCCCCGGUACCGAUAAAAAGGAAAAAGACCAAAAAAAAAAAAAAAAAAAAAAAAAAAAAAAAAAAGACAAUCGGUAAAAUAUAUGCCAGUUACUGAAAAUCUGAUCCCUACCUCAAUUCAGUAUGCUUACUUGUUCCACAAACAAUGAACCUCACUCCUCCUAAAGUAUUUUUUCAGGUAGAUAUCUGUCCAUUUCAGAGUUUACAACUUAUAUUCUAGUGAGGAGUUUAGCAUGCUUUACAUUAUCGAGGUCACUAGUGGCCUUCACUUUCGUUAUAUAGUUCAUAAUUUUCUGGAACAUUUUAUUUUGUUUUUUUGGAAUCAGGAAUCGAACUCAGGAUUUCACACUUGCUAGACAGGUGUCAUGCCACAGAACUGUACCCUGACACUGAACCAUUUUAAAUUCAUGUAAUGUCAUUAUUUUUCCUAAAAAGAAUGUGUUUGAUGCACAAUUUAAAUACUUAAAAUUCUUUAAGAGAUAACAUUUAAGUAUAUUCACAAAUCACACAAAAAAUCUUUGGCAAGUUAGGUUGGAAAAAUAUUUUGUAGUGUUGUGCAAUGAUACUGUAAUUUUUAUAAUGUUGUACCUUUGGGGAAUUAUUUGUAGAUGAACAUUUCUGUGAAAAGAGCAUGUCACAGAAAUUCUGAAAAGAGCAUGUCACAUUAUUUUGAACUGUUUUAAAAAUGAAAAUAAAAUUCUUUU
ensembl:lincRNA